UGAGAAAGGGCCGCUUCUUACUCUCGGGGGUGGCUUCGAGGGAGAGACGCCAGCCCUCAGAGAACGGAAUCUAAUCCAGAUUGUUAACGAGUUGGAAUUGCUCCGGCGGCGUUC
rnacentral:ribozyme from 1 species